rnacentral:lncRNA from 1 species
CACACACACACACACACACACACAUGCGAACAUGGUUGUAGAUAUAAGUAUUAAAAAAUGAGAGUGGAGCACGUUUAUUGCUUCGGUAAUUUGAAUGAUUCAACCGAAAAUGAGAUCAGAGAAAAAACACUCAAAAUGGCCAUUGGUACCUAUGACAAAAGCUAAUUCAUACACACACGCACACAUACAUACACACAUACAUACAUACAUACAUACAUACUUACAUACAUACAUACAUACAUACAUACAUACAUACUUACAUACAUAGGUAAAUACAUACGUUUAUGCAUGUUUUACAUACAUAAGCACGCACGCACGUACAACUGCGCACCACCUGUCUUCGUCUUUUGUUGUUUUUUUUUUGUGAAUUCUCCCCCUAUAUUUAUGCAUACAUAUUUAUACAUAUUCCUUUAUUCUUUUGUUUCAGCCAUUUGACUGGAGCCAAGCUGGAGCACCGCCUUUAGUCGAGGAAAUCUUAUUCUUUGUAAGCCUAGUAGUUAUUCUAUCGGUCUCUUAUGCCGAACCGCUACGUUACGGGGACGUAAACACGCCAGCAUCAGUUGUCAAGCGAUGUUAGGUGAGGGGGGGGGCGCAGAUACACAAACACACACCAACACACUUAUAUACGACAGGCUUCUUUCAGUUUCCGUUUCCACACACAAGCAUUUGACCGGCCCGUACUAUAGUAGAAGACACUUUCCCAAGGUGCUACGCAGUGGGACUGAACUCGGAGCCAUGUGGUUGGUAAGCAAGCUACAUAUCACACAGCCCAUCCUGCGCCUAUAUGUAUAUAUGCAUGUGUAUAAUUGCACACACAUUCACAAGUAAGUAUACAUACAUACGCAUAAACACACACACACACACUCACACACACAUAUAUAUAUAGACACACACACACACACACACACACACACACAUAUAUAUAUAUAUAUAUAUAUAUAUAUACACACACACGCAUAUGUAUGUAUUACGUUCAUGCAUUUGUUUUGCAAGAUUCUUGAUUUACAAACCUGUGUAGAAAUAUUGUUGUGUUUAGGGACAGUCAUUUUACCAAUAAACACGCGUACAAUUUAAUGGAUCUUCACUUUAGCUUCUUCUUUUUCCUCUUCUUCUUCUUCUUCUUCUUCUUCUUCUUCUUCUUCUUCUUCUUCUUAUUAUUAUUAUUAUUAUUAUUAUUAUUAUUAUUAUUAUUAUUAUUAUUAUUAUUAUUAUUAUUUUAUCUGUCUGAGAUUUUAUCAUUUUUACUUUAUUUGUCAUACCACAGAAACACAAGAUGGAAUAUAGAGGAGAGGACCAGAGAAAAGUGAAGAGAUGAAGAAAGGAUAACAAUUGAAGAGAUGACAAAAUGUGAGACGAAAGACAAUCAAACUGAAAGCGGUAAUACAAUGCUAAAGGGAAGAUAAAAAAAAACUGUGCGUGUGCUCAUUGGGAAAAUGAC